UAAUGAGGAGCGUCGAGCAAAAGUAGCCGUUCUGUCGGUCGUUCACGGACCGUUGCGGCAAAAGGGCAUCGUCGCCGAAGCGUUUAUCCCUCGUGGACGGGCUGAGCGUUGGGUGCAGCGGCUAAAUCCCUGCAACUGUCAUUCACCGAGAAUGGAGCAC
rnacentral:ncRNA from 1 species